GACGAACGCUGGCGGCGUGCUUAACACAUGCAAGUCGAGCGGUAAGGCCCUUUCGGGGGUACACGAGCGGCGAACGGGUGAGUAACACGUGGGUGACCUGCCCUCAGCUCUGGGAUAAGCCUGGGAAACUGGGUCUAAUACUGGAUAUGACUCCACGGUGCAUGUCGUGGGGUGGAAAGCCUUGUGCGGCUGAGGAUGGGCCCGCGGCCUAUCAGCUUGUUGGUGGGGNGAUGGCCUACCAAGGCGACGACGGUAGCCGGCCUGAGAGGGCGACCGGCCACACUGGGACUGAGACACGGCCCAGACUCCUACGGGAGGCAGCAGUGGGGAAUCUUGCGCAAUGGGCGAAAGCCUGACGCAGCGACGCCGCGUGAGGGAUGACGGCCU
rnacentral:rRNA from 1 species